CUAAAUCUCAUUUAUUGACUUAACAGUUGAUUUCAAAGUACCUCGUAUGUACCAAGCUCUGGGCAAGGUGCUAGAGGUACAGGAGUUAGGAAACAGAUGUUCCUUCAUCCAGGGAGCUCGCAAUCUGGUGAAGCAUCAUUCCCAGCUCCUCUCUUCUCCUCUGGAAUGUAGGAAGGGCUGCAGGUCUGGCUUGAUCAGGGGAGCUCAGUAUUCCAUACCUCAGUGAAUGCCUGUGCGAAGCUGGACAGAUGACCUCGCCUCGGUGGGGAUCACCUGGAGGGUAACAGCUGCCCACUUGCUCUCAAGGGCGACUGUGGGAUCCAACAGGAGUGGGGUCUUUGCUCUGUGACACCACAUGUGUGGUGUUAUGUACAUCCAGGCCCACGGUGGCCUUCGUGUGACGGUAACUACUGUACCUUCUCAGACAGGAAGGUCAUCCACUCAGCAAAUGUACUCAGGUGGCUAAAGAACUCGUUUCUAUCAGAGCAGUAGGUAUCAAGUGUUUCCUGUGUUCUGGGCUCAGAGCUGGGGCCUAGGGUGGACGUUAGGGGUGCAAAGGAGAUGGGGUGUCUGCUCCCACGAAGCUGACAGCCUAUUGAAGAACAGGCUUUCAACAAUUGGCCUCAAAUAGAGAAUGACUUUUUUUUUUAGUUCUUUGAGACAGGGUCUCACUAGUUCAGGCUGGCCUUGAACUCAGCAAUCCUCCAGCCUCAGCCUCCCAGCUGCUGCGAUUGCAGGCAUGUGACACCACAGCCAGCUUGAGAAUGGCAUGAUGGGUUCCAUGGAGGAAAAGCUGUGAUGAGGCCAGGGCCGCAGAGACCCCGCAGAGUGGUGCUGCGGAUGUAUAUGGAAGCGAGUGCUCAUUCUUCCCCGCAUGCUCUGACGUUUACACGCAGGGGUGGCCUCUGCUUUUCUCCUCCUCAGCCCAGCCCCAAGCUCUUCAAGGCACAGACUGCGCAUGCCCUUGGGUCCCUGAGAGGCCUGCCGGUACCAUCUGGGGACUGCGCUGACCCAAACCCCCUCUCCUGCAGAUGGACAGUAACUUGCAGGGCAGGGACAUCCUGCAGGAGGCCACCCCCUGUCAUUAGGUUGGCACGACACACAGUCCCAGCCCAGGUGACCCUGCUCCCACCCCUGGGGUUGAGAGGUGAGGGCUGGUUGACUCUGCUUCCGAGACUUGGAUCAGCCCAGUGCAGUUCUUCUCGCCACCCCACUAGGUCCCUCUCCUCUGCCUGGAAGCCUCCUCUGCUCCCCAGCCUGUGUAGUGGUUUCGCCCCUUUACCUGCUGUCCUGCAGGCUUGGGGCUGCUGCAGAGGCUCUGGGCCCUUGAAGCCCAAGGUCUGCCUCUUAGAAGCUGUGUGACAGGUGAUAGUGAUUUUUUAACGGGUAUUUCAAAUAAUGUUAAAGCUUUAAAUGUCCUAGUGUUAUUUGAAAUGUAAAGGGACAGUUUGGGUUGGGGAAGUGGAAGUCAAUUUCCAGACACGCUGGUGGGGCAGACGAAGCAUUCCCAGCUCUGACGACAUCAGACUGUAAGGGCCGGGGGGCCCCCGCCACUCCUGUGCCAUUCAGGCUGAGGGUGACUAAGCAGGGAGCUGGGGCAGGGGCCUCUCCAACUCACAGACCAAGUGGCAGAGGGUCUUUUCGGAGAGGAGUCCAAGUUCCUGGGAAAGGAGGAUGUUCCUACCACAGCCCAGCAAGACCCACACCCAGCUCCACCGUGAAAGAUGCGAUUUUGAUGAGGACUCAUUCAGCAGAGCAGACUCCCAGAGCUGGCGAGGAAAUCCAGGGUCCCCAGGCUGGGUGAGGUGCAGAGAGGGAGGAGCAGCAGCCAGUGACCUUCCCAGCAGCCUCUUCCAUCUGCUCUGCAUUAUUAUUAAAGCCCUAAAUCAGCAGUGCUAAAUAGCUCCUGAUUUAGCUUCUGCUGGGAGGGAGAUUUAAAACCAGCAGGACUGCUCACUGUGGGGACCAGGCAGUGACGGAGCUCGUGAGCCUCGGGUGGCUGUCACCGUGAAGGAUGGAUGGUGGCAGCGGCCUUACCGCAUGCCCAGGACAAAGACCAACUCUGCAGGAAGGACGCUACUCCAGAGCCAGGCUCGGCUGUCAUGGCCAUGCCCUGCUCACAAGCUGUGGCUGCUGUCACUGUUGCUGGGCGCACCUCAGGUCCUGGUAGGGAACUGCCUCCCACAGCCUUGUCCUCCCAGGCUCCUGGUCCACUGACGAGUGACCUGUGCCAGAAUGGGGCAGUGCAGGUGCUGCAGAGCGAGGAUCAGGAGCACCAGAGCUAUGGAGGGUGGCCAAGGACGGCUUCCUAAAGCAGGUGACGUUUGAAGUGAGACCUGAGAGAUGAGUCAGCCAGGUGAGGAGGAGGCAGCAGGGGAGACCAGCAUGUGCAAAGGCCCUGGGGUUUGUCACCAGGCAGGCUCUGAGGAGGACCUGCUAAAGAGGAGAUGAGACCUCAGCUCGCCCUGGGGAGAUGCUUAGCCUAUUGCAGAAAGCAGCAGGAGGCUGAUGCAGGAGGAUUGCCGCAUGUAUGAAACCAGCCAAGACUACAUAGCCAGACUGAACUAUAUAGCAAGACUCUGUCUCAAAAAAACCUAAGAAUUAAAAAGAAAUGAAAAUACAAGCAGUGAUGCUAAGCUUUGUUCUCCUUUUAAUUACCCACUGGGCAUGUGUCAGCCCAAUGAAGAGACCCUGUUUUUAGCCAAAGCAGCUUUUAAGACCCUGACUGCCUUAGAAGGAAACACAAAUUGAGCUUCUGUGAAGCAACAAGUUAAGGACCCAGGACUUUGUCCUCUGCGGUGAUCCCAACAGUCUCAUCUUAUCUGCUUCGUUCUUGGAGACGCUGUGGCGAGGACACCCGGCUUCGUGGCCUCUCUGGGUUUUGCAGCUGAUCGGCUGGGAGAGUGAGGGUAGAGAAGCAUACAUACCAUGCUUUCCCUGGGUAGCAGGUCCCGAGUUGGGGCCCAAGACUGCCCCUGCCCUUUGGCCCCAGGGGGCCUCUGCCGCUCUCAGCUGGACAGAGCCAUUUGUACCUGAGGACAUGGGUGUCGGAACGGGGGCUGUCAGCUGCUGGCAGAGGAGCCCAGUGGAGGGCUGGUGGGGGAGGGGCUGCAGCACCGCAUGGGAAGCGGAAACUGUGUUUUUUCUGUUUGGGUUUGGUUUCUUGAGACAGGGUCUCACUAUAUACUUCAGGUUGGCCUUGAACUUGGUAUGUAGCCCAGGCUGGCUUCAAACUCACGGCAUUCCUCCUGCCUCAACUUCCCAAGUACUGGGAUUACAGGCGUGCGCCCCCAUGCCUGGCUUAGGGACUGUUAUUCAUUGGUCCUUUUAGCUCCAGUAUGCUGUGGUUCUGAGUAUCACGGAAGUCCUUGAGGUCAGCAUAUUUGAGGAUUGACAUGUGCUGCCUCCUUCAAAACAGCGAUGAUGGGGAGGAAGAGUGGGGUAGGGAGGGAGUUGGCUGGGACCCCAGUGAGGGACCCACUCUGCCCAGCACUCUGCCGCUGAGCUCCUGCAUAGCCCUCGAAGCCCCGAUUCAGGCAGUGCUGGCUGUCCAGCUUCACAGUGGGGGACCCAGCCUUGCAAGGUCAGGUCGUUUUAAUUGACCCAGAUCACACAGCAGUCUGGUUAGAGGACCCGGAACUGACCCAGUUCCAUCCUACCCGAGGUCCUGGUGCUGAUUCAUUUCCACCUGCUCAGGGCCUCCCUGUCCGUCUGUCCAUCCUCCCAGCACCUCCUCCUCUGAGACUGUCACACGGGCUAUGAGAAGAAUCCGGCCUCUUUGGGGAAGGCAGGUCACAAGGCAGAAGCUGGGGAUGGGUUUUUAAAUCAGAGCAUUAAAAAAACCUGCUCAACAAGCCGCACGUUUUGCUUUCCUUGUAGGUAGUGAGGAUCAAUUUCCCAAAGAGAAAAAAAAUCAAUUUGUUGGAAUGUGUCUUUCUGGGGGGAAAAAAAAAAAGUCUGGCAUCUGUCAAAUAGGGAAAAAAAGACCCAGAAAAAGAUUUUCUUGGGUCACGCAUGUACCGGGGGUUGCUGACUCAGGCCGUAUGUUCCAUCAUCAUUAACGAGUUGGAAAGCUGUGGCUCCUCACAGGGUUACAGAAGAGGGGUUUGAACAACUCAGCUGGGAAAACCCUCUGCAAAGCAAGCCAUAUGGGGCGGGGGGGGGAGGGGGCUGGGAGCAGCCCUGGUGCAGACCUGGGGCUGGCAGCAUGGAUGAAGGGAAGGUGCUUCAGCGGCAGGCUUCCCUGGUAAACCAUUAUUGGCCUCGGGCUUCAGCUCUUGCUGUUGGACUUGGCUAGGACAGUCCUUGCCUAUUGCUGGAGAGGCACCAGGAUUUUGCCAAAGAGCAUUCAUUUGCUGUUUCACCAUGGGGAAGUUGGGGGGUCACCCCCUACCACACUGCUGUGGCCCAAUUGGAGACAGGCAGGGCCCUGGAGAGGGGAGAGGGCAAAGACCCUUUGCAGAGCCAGACACAUUCAGCCAACAAUUAAAUUUUUUUUGGUACUGGGGAUCGAACUUGGGACCUUGCACAUGCGAGGCAGGUGGCGGCACCACUGAGCUAAAUCCCUGGCCCAAAAAUUUUUAAAAAUUUUAAAAAUGUUUAGUAGUCUAUGUUUAGAGUAUGUAAUGAUUACAUUCCUAGUGGG
rnacentral:lncRNA from 1 species